rnacentral:rRNA from 1 species
CAGUAGCCGCGGUAAUACAGAGGGUGCGAGCGUUAAUCGGAUUUACUGGGCGUAAAGCGUGCGUAGGCGGCUUCUUAAGUCGGAUGUGAAAUCCCUGAGCUUAACUUAGGAAUUGCAUUCGAUACUGUGAAGCUAGAGUAUGGGAGAGGAUGGUAGAAUUCCAGGUGUAGCGGUGAAAUGCGUAAAGAUCUGGAGGAAUACCGAUGGCGAAGGCAGCCAUCUGGCCUAAUACUGACGCUCAUGCACGAAAGCGUGGGGAGCAAACAGGAUUAGAUACCCCGGUAGUCCCUGUCUCUUAUAC